rnacentral:rRNA from 1 species
UGGGGAAUAUUGGACAAUGGGCGCAAGCCUGAUCCAGCCAUGCCGCGUGAGUGAUGAAGGCCUUAGGGUUGUAAAGCUCUUUUGCCGGGGACGAUAAUGACGGUACCCGGAGAAUAAGUCCCGGCUAACUUCGUGCCAGCAGCCGCGGUAAUACGAAGGGGACUAGCGUUGUUCGGAAUCACUGGGCGUAAAGCGCACGUAGGUGGAUUUGUAAGUCAGGGGUGAAAUCCCGGGGCUCAACCUCGGAACUGCCUUUGAUACUGCAAGUCUUGAGUCCGAUAGAGGUGGGUGGAAUUCCUAGUGUAGAGGUGAAAUUCGUAGAUAUUAGGAAGAACACCGGUGGCGAAGGCGGCCCACUGGAUCGGUACUGACACUGAGGUGCGAAAGCGUGGGGAGCAAACA